GAAUUUUGCGCAAUGGGCGAAAGCCUGACGCAGCGACGCCGCGUGAGUGAUGAAGGCCUUAGGGUUGUAAAGCUCUUUCAGUAGGGAAGAUAAUGACGGUACCUACAGAAGAAGCCCCGGCUAACUUCGUGCCAGCAGCCGCGGUAAUACGAAGGGGGCUAGCGUUGUUCGGAUUUACUGGGCGUAAAGCGCACGUAGGCGGUUUGUUAAGUCAGAGGUGAAAUCCCGGAGCUCAACUCCGGAACUGCCUUUGAUACUGGCAAGCUAGAGUCCGGAAGAGGUAAGUGGAACUCCUAGUGUAGAGGUGGAAUUCGUAGAUAUUAGGAAGAACACCAGUGGCGAAGGCGGCUUACUGGUCCGGAACUGACGCUGAGGUGCGAAAGCGUGGGGAGCAAACAGG
rnacentral:rRNA from 1 species